rnacentral:tRNA from 1 species
AAACUCUAAGGUUUAAACUGCUUAUUUGUGGUGUAAGAGAUCCGCCCAAACGACGGAGAGUUUC